rnacentral:rRNA from 1 species
UGCGUAGGCGGCUUUUUAAGUCGGAUGUGAAAUCCCCGAGCUUAACUUGGGAAUUGCGUUUGAAACUACAAGACUAGAAUAUGUCAGAGGGGGGUAGAAUUCCACGUGUAGCAGUGAAAUGCGUAGAGAUGUGGAGGAAUACCAAUGGCGAAGGCAGCCCCCUGGGAUAAUAUUGACGCUCAUGCACGAAAGCGUGGGGAGCAAACAGGAUUAGAUACCCGUGUA